UGGCUCCAGCAGCAGGCGAUCGAAUCACGCGCCCGGAGACUUCCACAUUCUCUCAUCCGACAGCACGCUGGGAAGAGGCUCCGCUACGGUUUCCGGCGACAAAGAUCGGUACGGAGGUUAACAAGCUCCGCUCCGGGAGAAAAACACGACACGCAACCCGGGAGUUCGUCCAUCCUUUCGGGAAGUCCACCACCACCCUCCAGACGGGUCACCUGCCAACUCUUCUUCCAGUUGACGCAGGACACCUGGCUGUACUGCAUGUCAGCCAACACUCGCUUCACUUGCAACAUGACACGAGGUCGCAAGGUUGGGCCUCCUCGGUCCUUCAGAUAUGGGCCCUGUCCUGCUUUGGAGAUCUCUCGUAUAGCGCAGCACCUUAGUGUCCCGGUAUAUAGGGACAAGCCUCCACAAUGCACUUCACGCGAAAAUGAACACACACCUUCGAUCGUCCGGCGGAACAAAAGUCCUAGGUUGCUUCUUAGUUAUCCUAGAUGAUACGUGUAUAUGUCACGUCCCCCACUGCAGGAAGUGCCUCGCUAAGUGUCCUGGCGACGUGAUACCUAGCAUGACACCAUCCUGGCGCUCUGCCUUCAAGUCCAGAGCGAGACUUUUUCGUGGCCUGACAACGAACGCAAUGACUUCAGGCCUGUAUGCUGGACUCCAAAUCAUUGUAAGACAACCCAGUGUCCUGGAAGGCCAGUAUCGUACAUACCCGUCGGGCGUCAGUACAACACGUCUUAUUAUCCUGCGCGUGCCAGUGCAGUGUCCCUCUGGAUCGUGUUUUGCCGGUCACAGUGACGACCUAUCCAAGAACUGGAGUACGUCCUGACUUUGAAAUACGGUACAUGUGACCUCCGUGUAGUCAACUUUCUCAAUGUCGCUGUCAACGUCUGGAGAAGGCAGAAUACAGAAGAACGCUCGUCACCGUCUGAAGAGGAGCACGUCUUGGAUAAGGGAUUAAGUAACGCCAGCGCCAUCACAGUCCCACCGGCACAGCACUUAACGUUAUCACAGCACCGAGGCGACCCGGAAUCCAGUCCAACGGAUCAGCUCCACAUCUCUCGUGACGACGUUGAACACUGCUCGCGUCAACACCUGUUCGACACUCAAUCUCAAGACGAGCGGCUUCCGAGAAAUAUGAUGAUUCAACGACGCCGACGGCCAAAUGGUUCGAGCUCCUCCCACUGUAAGUACACGUGCCGUGUGGGACAGCGCUAUGUUUCGCUCAACGACCAAUAAAAUGUUACUC